rnacentral:rRNA from 1 species
UACGGGGGGAGCAAGCGUUGUUCGGAUUUACUGGGCGUAAAGGGCGCGUAGGCGGCCACCGCACGUCGGUUGUGAAAUCUCUGGGCUUAACCCAGAAAGGUCAACCGAUACUGCGGGGCUAGAGUGCAGAAGGGGCAACUGGAAUUCUCGGUGUAGCAGUGAAAUGCGUAGAUAUCAGGAGGAACACCGGUGGCGAAGGCGGAUCUCUGGGCCUGUUCUGACGCUGAGGAGCGAAAGCGUGGGGAGCGAACAGG